GGAGCCCGCUCGCGCGUGUCACCCCCACGCCUAGUGCCUGCGCGCGUCCUCGGGCCGGGCCCCUACCUGGCCGAGCUGGGAAGAAAGCCAUUUGCGGGUGCCAGGUGCCCGCACCCCGGGCCGCCCGGCCUGGCAGGGACCGGGCGCUUCGUGCAGCCGCAGUGCGGUGGGUGAGAAUGAAUCCGAUAUGAAAAUGUCUGAGGCAAUAAAUUAACACGCAGCAGGGGGGCUGAUGGCUCAAUCCUGUCUGGUCCAGACUACCUGACACCCAUUACUGUUCCAGGAGGUGGGAGCCGGUGCCGGGACUGGAGCGAAAAUGAACAUUCCCCACAGACGUGGAGCUUUGCCGUGUAGGUGCGUGAUGCGAUUGUGCAAAGGGGCACCCGGCGCCCCCACGGCCCUGCGAGCCCAUCCCAAGGCGCCCGGCCCGCAGCCUCCUCUGCUGUCCCCGUUGAUUUAUUUCACGCCAAAGGAAUGCCUUUGACAUUAGGAGAAGCAAUGGAGAACACGCGGGGCCCUGGUAAGGCCGGUCACACCUUGGGUAAAACAGAGCCAACACCGGCAGGUCCCCGAGCCUAACGGUGUGUCCCCAUUCUGGGAAGUCCUUCAUCCGCGUGGCAUUCUUGGGAACAUCGCCGACCCAGGUCUGAAUUGUUUUCCUGGAACGAACGAUUGUGAGAGAUGCUUUAGGAUGCACACCCCCAAGCAUGAACCUGGACACAAAUUCACAUGCAAAUUGCGCUGAGUAAAAUUUCUCUUCUUGAUAUUUUGCUUGGAAUAUUUCAUUGCCCGAGGUCUUCAGAGGCAUUGUCCAACCAUCUGGAGGUUUCCAUCAGACCCAGCGUCUCGCUGAGAAUCUCCUACCAUCCCGAGUCUGGGGCGAGAAGGGCCUCGCUGACCCCCGUGUCCCUUGCUGAGAGCAGCGCUACUCAGGGAGCGCUCCAAGAGAAAUUUGGAUGUGUCACCUGAAACCUCAUUCCCAGUCACUGAAAUGAGCUCCGCGCCCACGUGGGAAAUGUGUGCCUGUCGAUCUUUCUGAAUACAUUUCACGACAUUGAUUUUAAAUACCCCACCAUUGUUUUCCUUUGGAUUGUAUGAUUAUCACGCUCAUUUAGAGGCCCCAGAACUCACAUUGUAAAAAUCAACUGACUGUUUCUGACUUGCUGAUUUUCCAUGAAAAACAGGGAAAACUCUAGUGUGUUCGGGAGAAAAUGUUUGGAUAUGAUGUGAACUAAAAUGUGCCACUUCAGUGGGCUGUGAAAAGUCUCCACUUAUGUGUGUUUAGAGUCCAAUUCUCCCCCUAACUUAGGCUCCGAAUCCCCACUGAUGAUGUUACAUCCCAAACAAAUCCAAUUCCACGACUUUUUAAGGAAGGUGUGCUCGGUGUGCUCGGAACAAAUAGAAUCAAAAUACGCUUUGCAGCAUCCUGUCCGAAAGGGCUGGCGCCUUGAGGAAAUGCUGGAUGGCUCGGGAAAAACGGAGGGCCCUUUAGCUUUCCAUGCUUAAUUUAUUUAGACCUAUCGCUCUUUGAAAAUCUC
rnacentral:lncRNA from 12 species